rnacentral:lncRNA from 1 species
GUAAAAUCCAAACAAUGACCGAUCUCCAGUGAAUAUCAGUGAUGGAGUGCUCUCCCCCUUGCUUGCCUUUCAGGACUGAACUUUUGUUACCUCCCUGCCAGCAACGUCCAGUGGGGAGGGUCCUCCCCAGGACCCCAGACCCAGCUUGGGUUCGAGAUCGGACCACUCUCCCCAUCUCCUCUCGUUUCCAGCGGGCCAAGCUCAUGGAAGGAGAGGGAACCAGAGAACUCUGACCUCCCCAGUUGGAGGAGAUGGAGAAUUCGGCCAGUUCGCCACUUGAGACCUGCCAGUUUCUGGAUUUUAAUGGCCUUUUCUCCCAGGCAGAGGUGAAAGAAACCCAGGGAGCCUCCUGGAAAUCCCAUUGACUUGGCAGAAAGAAGAGCUGGACGAUGACUGGAAGGUUCCGGAAGACAUCAUGGGGAGACAUCUCAGGAAGGGAAAGUCAAUUAUCCACAAGGACUCAGGGGCGGUGCUCCCCAUCAAAGGCUGGUGUCAGGAAAGACUCUGAGGUCAGAAUCCAGACACGGGAUUGGAGGUGCUGAUGAACUCUGCUGCAGCACAGACGUCGGGGAGAAGAACUCCAGCGAGGUUAGCAGUGGAGCUGAGAUUGGAAGAGGACUCAAAGAAUGGAAGACGUCAGCGAUCUACCAGUAGUAUGGGAGUCUCCAAGAAUCCAGGUUUAACAUUCAAAGCAAAGACCCCUCACCUGGAGGCCUCCAUCCACCUGAGCAUUCUUCAAGGAUCUCCUUGGGUCCCAGGUUAUCUAAUUUUUGGAUGGAGAGGGGAGCAGAGGACAGGCCAUCCAGAUGGCAUUGAAGGGACUUCCCUGGUGUUGCAGUGAUUAGACUCUGCCUGCCAAUGUAAGGGGCCCAGGUUCCAUCCCUGGUCAGGGAACUAGAUCUCACAUGCUGCAACUAAUAAGAGUUCAGAUGCUGCCACUAAAGAUCCUGCAUGCCAAAACCAAGACCUGGAGCAGCCAAAUAAAUAAAAUAAAUAAAAAUAAAAAUAUAUAUAUAAGACAGCAUUGAAGACUAAAGACCUGUAUGUGUUCAGGAUCAAGAGUUCUGUUUUCAUUUCUUUACUGAGACUAUGGGCAAGUAGCGAACUUGUCACUUGAUCAAAUCUGUCAAAAAUGAGAACAUUUACCCCCCUAUUGGUAAAGAACCUGCCUGCCAGCGCAGGAGAUGUGAGACACAGGUUCGAUCCCUGGGUCGGGAAGAUUCCCUGGAGGAGGGCAUGGCAACCCACUGCAGUGUUCUUGCCUGGAGAAUCCUAUGGGCAGAGGAGCCUGGCGGGCUACAGAGUUGGGACACAACUGAAAAGACUUAGCACAGCCCCAUCCCAUUGGACUGUGGAGACCAGGAAAUGAAGAGGGGUGAAGAGAAGCCCCCGCGUGGGGCUGGCACCCAAGAGGUCAUGAGCAGAGGAGCACGUGGGCUAGCCCAGCCUGUGCCUUCACUCUGCCUGAGAAGUUGGAGUCUCUGAGUUUCUGAAGCUGCCCGCUUGGCUUCAGAAGAGAGAGAUUCCCAGACGUUUUCAGUGCUCCAGACAUGCUCAGACUUGCAGGUGCCAUUUUGAAUUUUCGAGAGGCCCUUGACUUAAGGGUGUGAGUUCACAGAAAAUGCUUUUGUCUAACGUGUAACCCUAUCUUGACCGAUACAGAUUUCUUCCCCCCAGCCCAGGGAGGGGAAUGGGAGUCCUCCGAAGACCCCGCCCACCUUUUAUCUCAUGGCUUGUUCCAAUAGUUUGGGAGAUAGGCCAGGGAGAUACCAAUGUCCCCAAGAUCCCCAGGAGAGAUCAGCUGUUGACUUCAAAGAGUCAGUGCCUUCGGAUCAGAGGGAUGGAGGGUGAGUGAUUCCAGCAACUCUGCAAGUAGUGAGGUCCCCUGGCCAGCUGGACUGACAGGUCUUGCGCUUUCAUUUAAAGGAGCAAUCGAUCAGAGAUGAUGAUGGGGGUUUUGUGGCUUCAUGCAUGUCUCCCAGGAUGCUCAGGGAGACAAGGAAAGGGGUAUCAUUAAAGUUGAGUUACAUUUCUGUACCACAUGCCCUGUGAGGUCAGGCGAAUGCUACGCGUAGGACAGGAAAUCGAGGCAGCGAAACAUCUUGCCCAGGGGCCACCCAGCUGUUAAGAUAAGAAAGAAGGGCUUGGCUCCUUCUAUUCUAGCUGACACUUCCUCCUUCCACUCCGAGUUUCAUUACCUUGAAUUUAGCACCUGCUGUCUUGCCUGGAAAAUCCCAUGGACAGAAGAGCCUGGUGGGCUACAGUCCAUGGGGUCGCACAGAAUCAGACGUGACUGAAGUGACUAAGCAGUAGCAGUGUGAGGUUAUACGGGGAGGAGGCGCCCAAGACCUCUCUGACCUGUUUACAUCACCUGGCCCUUGUCCUCUGGAUUCCAGCCCACCCUCAC